CCCCAGCGGUGGAGCAUGUGGUUUAAUUUGAUGCAACGCGAAGAACCUUACCUGGCCUUGACAUAGUAAGAACUUUCCAGAGAUGGAUUGGUGCCUUUGGGAACUUACAUACAGGUGCUGCAUGGCUGUUGUCAGCUCGUGUUGUGAGAUGUUGGGUUAAGUCCCGCAACGAGCGCCACCCUUUUCCUUAUUUGCCAGCGAGUAAUGUCGGGAACUUUAAGGAUACUGCCAGUGACAAACUGGAGGAAGGCGGGGACGACGUCAAGUCAUCAUGGCCCUUACGGCCAGGGCUACACACGUGCUACAAUGGUCGGUACAAAGGGUUGCUACACAGCGAUGUGAUGCUAAUCUCAAAAAGCCGAUCGUAGUCCGGAUUGGAGUCUGCAACUCGACUCCAUGAAGUCGGAAUCGCUAG
rnacentral:rRNA from 1 species